rnacentral:rRNA from 1 species
UACGUAGGGGGCAAGCGUUGUCCGGAUUUAUUGGGCGUAAAGAGCGUGUAGGCGGUUUGGUAGGUCCGUUGUGAAAACUCGAGGCUCAACCUCGAGACGCCGGCGGAAACCAUCAGGCUAGAGUCCGGAAGAGGAGAGUGGAAUUCCUGGUGUAGCGGUGAAAUGCGUAGAUAUCAGGAGGAACACCGGUGGUGUAGACGGCUCUCUGGACCGUAACUGACGCUGAGACACGAAAGCGUGGGUAGCAAACAGG